CAUCAACCGCAUUGUGCUAACGCUUCCGCUUACGGUCUACGAGGGUACGUGGACAUUACUCUCCCCUCUCGUUGCUAUGUCAUCACCAUGAUCUUGCUGUGCGUAGGGAAAAUUUUGAAAUUACUCCGUUCCCCAACACGUUAGUCGCAGGAGCCACCCCGCCGCGCCCGGAGCCGCCUCCCAUAGCCGCCGCCGGUCCGCGCCCGGAGCCGCCUCCCGCAGCCGCCACCGGUCGCCGUGGCCGUCGCCCCGGGAGCCUCCCCACCGGCCUUUUGCCGCCUGCCGCGGCCGCGCCCUUCGUCGCCGGUGGCCGCGCACAUUCUGCUGACUCCAAGACGAGGAGCCGGUGCAUCGACGCCAAUGCGGGAUCUGUCCGCCCUCCUCGCUCGCCGUUGACGCCGCCAUAGGCGGAGGUGCCGCUGCUCCACGGGAUCCGGCAAGGUCGUCUUCCAUCACGACAGCCCAUCACGGGUGCAGGUGACUGGGGCGUGGUAGUCGUCCCCAUCGUCUCUACUGUUCCCAUGCCAAGAGGUGGUCCUUCCCGGUGGCCCUUGCUCCUUCGCCAGCGCGCUCCACGCUGGGCCGCCGCCUCUGCUCCUCCGCCAGAGCCCUGCCGCGCCCGGUCGCAGCCUCGCGCGCCUCCGUGUCGGCCCUCCACGCCUCUCCGCGCACGCCGCAGACGGCCCUCCUCACCUCCCACGACACGCCCGAGGAGCUCAACUGACGACGACACCCAUCUCCUUUCAGGAAACUGAAGAAGAGCGUUUGAGGAAAGAGGAGAAGUGGGAGGCACAGGAAGAUAAGAAGGGGAGAAGGGAGGGGGGAAACGAGAAGUUGCUCAAGAAGAAUACUAGAAACGCCUUACCAGUAGGCUUUCGUUGCAAUGUUUUCAUGGAUUAUUGGAUGAGUCUUCCUCUUGAUUGUUUUUUUAGGUAAGUUCAUGAUCACAUUGAAAAUAUGUGAUGGAUACAUGGAGUUUUGUGGAUGACCUGAUUUAUUGGGCCUUUUUGAGAUUUUUGUUUGGAAUUAAUAUUCAGCACAACCAUUGCCAAAGUAUAUUGAUCAACAGAUCAGCUUCUAAAUCAUUCAUCAUUUUCAA